AUUGCCACCAGAUAUAUCACCAGCUAGAUACCUCAGACCAACCUGAUUAUAGGUACAUAAAUCACAACUAGUGUCAGGUCAAGAUCCCAACGAAAAUAGGAAAAAGAAAAUUUGAAAAUUGUAUUACACAUCAGAGUUGAUAACAGUUGCUGCCUCUCUAAUGGAAAAAAUGCGAAUAUUUAGCCAAAAACUUUCAAACAUAAAUAUUUCCACAACCCCCCCCCCCCCCAAAAAAAUAAAAAUAAACUUCAUAGUAUUAGUAUCCACAAAAGAUAAGUUCUUUAGCCUCACCUUAUAAACAGCAGGAUGAACAGGAUCUAGUUGAAACAGCUUCGAUUCAAGUUCAGGGAGCCUUGUUCCAUGUUCAUACUGAGGUAAAUGCCUAAACAGUUCAACCCUGUUCUUUGCUUCGGUCUGCUUAACAACAGAUCGUUUCUUUGCCUUCUCAACUCG
rnacentral:lncRNA from 1 species